AUGGCUGUCGUCAGCUCGUGUCGUGAGAUGUUGGGUUAAGUCCCGCAACGAGCGCAACCCUUGUCCUAUGUUGCCAGCACGUAAUGGUGGGGACUCGUAGGAGACUGCCGGGGUCAACUCGGAGGAAGGUGGGGACGACGUCAAGUCAUCAUGCCCCUUAUGUCCAGGGCUGCAAACAUGCUACAAUGGCCGGUACAAAGGGCUGCUAUACCGCGAGGUGGAGCGAAUCCCAAAAAGCCGGUCUCAGUUCGGAUUGGAGUCUGCAACUCGACUCCAUGAAGUCGGAGUCGCUAGUAAUCCCGGAUCAGCAACGCCGGGGUGAAUACGUUCCCGGGCCUUGUACACACCGCCCGUCACACCACGAAAGUUGGCAACACCCGAAGCCAGUGGCCCAACCCUUUUGGGAGGGAGCUGUCGAAGGUGGGGUCAGCGAUUGGGGUGAAGUCGUAACAAGGUAGCCGUACCGGAAGGUGCGGCUGGAUCACCUCCUUUCUAAGGAGAGCUUGUCCAAGCCAAGCCGGCAUUCCGCCGGUAUGAGCGAGGCAAGUCCUUACCAGUUGACACACUGGCUAUUCGGUCACGGAUCAGUGCAAUCGGUUGUAGACCUCGGUCUCCCCUUUGCUCAGUGAAGCGGCCGUCAUCCUCUAUUCCGUUUUGAGGGAGUUCCUCCCUCGGCGGUCAACCCGAACUUUGACCCAUGCGGCGCAGCGAUGCGCCGCAUGUGUCGUUUCUGUUCGAAGCACCGCCAGUGACCUUUGAGAACUGCAUAGCGAGCACGAGCAUCUUUGUUAUCUCAAGCUACAAAGAGCCAACGGUGGAUGCCUAGGCGUCUACGACCGAUGAAGGACGUGGGUGACUGCGAAAAGUCACGGGGAGCUGUCGACCAAGCUUUGAUCCGUGAAUGUCCGAAUGGGGAAACCCGG
rnacentral:sRNA from 1 species